AGAGUUUGAUCAUGGCUCAGGACGAACGUUGGCGGUGCGCUUAAUGCAUGCAAGUCGAGGGAGAACCAGUCGUUCCGUAAGGUUCGGCUGGGGAAACCGGCGAACGGGUGCGUAACACGUGAGGAACCCGCCCCGAAGACUGGGAUAGCCCGAGGAAACUCGGAUUAAUACCGGAUACCCUCUUUGGACCACAUGGUCUGUUGAGGAAGUGGUCCGCUGCUUCGGGAUGGCCUCGCGGCCUAUCAGCUUGUUGGUGAGGUAAUGGCUCACCAAGGCAAAGACGGGUAGCUGGUCUGAGAGGACGAUCAGCCACACUGGGACUGAGACACGGCCCAGACUCCUACGGGAGGCAGCAGCAGGGAAUAUUGCACAAUGGGCGAAAGCCUGAUGCAGCGACACCGCGUGCGGGAUGAAGGCCUUCGGGUUGUAAACCGCUUUCAGGAGGGACGAAAAUGACGGUACCUCCAGAAGAAGGCCCGGCCAACUACGUGCCAGCAGCCGCGGUAAUACGUAGGGGCCAAACGUUGUCCGGAUUUAUUGGGCGUAAAGGGCUCGUAGGCGGUUCAACAAGUCGGUCGUGAAAGCCCGGGGCUCAACCCCGGGACGCCGGUCGAAACUGUUGUGACUAGGGUCCGGUAGAGGUGAGUGGAAUUCUCGGUGUAGCGGUGGAAUGCGCAGAUAUCGAGAGGAACACCAGUAGCGAAGGCGGCUCACUGGGCCGGUACCGACGCUGAGGAGCGAAAGCAUGGGGAGCAAACAGGAUUAGAUACCCUGGUAGUCCAUGCCGUAAACGAUGAACACUAGGUGUGGCGGACUCAUUGACGUCUGCCGUGCCGAAGCUAACGCAUUAAGUGUUCCGCCUGGGGAGUACGGCCGCAAGGCUAAAACUCAAAGGAAUUGGCGGGGCCCCGCACAAGCGGAGGAACAUGUGGUUUAAUUCGAUGAUACGCGAGGAACCUUACCCGGGCUUGAAUUGCAGAGGAAGGAUUUGGAGACAAUGACGCCCUUCGGGGUCUCUGUGAAGGUGCUGCAUGGUUGUCGUCAGCUCGUGCCGUGAGGUGUCGGCUUAAGUGCCAUAACGAGCGCAACCCCUCUCCUUAGUUGCCAUCAGGUUGAGCUGGGCACUCUGGGGACACUGCCACCGUAAGGUGUGAGGAAGGUGGGGAUGACGUCAAAUCAGCACGGCCCUUACGUCCGGGGCUACACACGUGUUACAAUGGCAGGUACAGAGAGACGGUUGUACGUAAGUACGAUCAAAUCCUUAAAGCCUGUCUCAGUUCGGACUGGGGUCUGCAACCCGACCCCACGAAGCUGGAUUCGCUAGUAAUCGCGCAUCAGCCAUGGCGCGGUGAAUACGUUCCCGGGCCUUGUACACACCGCCCGUCAAGCCAUGAAAGCCGGGGGCGCCUAAAGUCCGUGACCGUAAGGAGCGGCCUAGGGCGAAACUGGUAAUUGGGGCUAAGUCGUAACAAGGUA
rnacentral:rRNA from 1 species